AACAAUUAUAUGGGGAACUGUUUGGAUAAGAUGAACUUGGUUGACUGGUUUAAGGGAAUGGUAAUAAGUCGUCGCAGCGAUGAGCUAGUCAAGCAGAUAAAUACAUUUUUCUAGGAUUAGUAUAAGGAUUAAGUUUUUUAUGUACAUAGUAUCAUUUUUUCUUUUCUUUUUUAUAUGGAAUGUUUAUAGAGUUUAAGUGCUAUAAGUAUUUUUUUUCUUUUUCCAUUUUAUUUGCAUCACGAAGCAAAUUUGUACAAUGAUUAUUGAUUAAUGAAAGAGGCUAUAAAAAUUUCAUUU